GAUGAACGCUGGCGGCGUGCUUAACACAUGCAAGUCGAACGAAGUGUUUAUUCAAAGUUCUUCGGGAUAGAGAAUAAAUUACUUAGUGGCGGACGGGUGAGUAACGCGUGGGUAACCUGCCUCACACAGGGGGAUAACAGUUGGAAACGACUGCUAAUACCGCAUAAGACCACAGCACCGCAUGGUGCAGGGGUAAAAGAUUUAUCGGUGUGAGAUGGACCUGCGUCUGAUUAGAUAGUUGGUGGGGUAGAAGCCUACCAAGUCAACGAUCAGUAGCCGACCCGGGAAGGGGGAUCGGCACAAUUGGGAUGGGGCCACGCCCCAAACCCCACGGGGAGGAGGAGGUGGGGAUAAUUGGACAAGGGGGGAAACCCGGAUCCGCCACGGCCGGGGGGUUGAGAAAUUAUUUGGGAAGGAAAGCUCUAUCAGCAGGGAAGAAAAUGACGGUACCUGACUAAGAAGCCCCGGCUAACUACGUG
rnacentral:rRNA from 1 species